ACGCAUGGCUGUGCCCCAGGCUUUCCUACCAGUGGCCCUCCAUGAGCUACUACUAUUGUCUUGAUGGAGCCUUUGACCUGCCCUUAAAGCUUAGCUGAGGGCUUCUUGGAGGAGGAGCUUUGGCUCAACGCUGAGCUGAGCCAGCUGCAGUUUUCAGAGCCAGGGGGCAUCAUGUACAAUCCUGUGGAGUAUGUGUGGGAGCCACAUUGCAGCUGUGUGACUCACUACUGCCAGGGCCCCAAGCAAGUGCUCUUCCUGGGGAUGAACCUGGGACCUUUUGGCUUGGCCCAGACUGGGGUGCCCUUUGGGGAAGUGAGCAGGGUCCGGGACCGGUUGGGCUUUGGGGGGCCUUUGCUGACCCCUCCCCAAGUGCAACCUAAACGACCGAUGCUGGGACUGGAGUGCCCACAAUCAGAAGUGAGUGGUACCUGACUCUGGGGCUUUUUCCAGAACCUCUGUGAACAGCUAGAGGUCUUCUUCCCGACACUGCUUUGUCCACAAUCUGUGUUCAUUGCUCUUCCUGACUUCCAGUGGGUGCAAACUCACCCCUGCUGAGCUGCCUGCCAAACAGCAAGAACAGCUUCCUGGGAUCUGUGAUGUGGCCAUUUGCUGGCAGGUGCAGUUGGGGCGGCUGGUGGUGGGAGGAGGGCGACUGACUGAGUAGCGGGCACUGUGGGCUCUCUCAGGGCUAAUGCCAGAGGUCCAGGUGGAGGGGCUGCUGCACCCUUCUCCUUGUAACCCAUUGGCCAACAAGGGCUGGGAGGCAGUGGCCAAGGAGAGACUGAAGGAGUUGGGGCUGCUGUCCUUACUCUCAAAAUGA